GGUUAAGCGACUAAGCGUACACGGUGGAUGCCCUGGCAGUCAGAGGCGAUGAAGGACGUGCUAAUCUGCGAUAAGCGUCGGUAAGGUGAUAUGAACCGUUAUAACCGGCGAUUUCCGAAUGGGGAAACCCAGUGUGAUUCGUCACACUAUCAUUAACUGAAUCCAUAGGUUAAUGAGGCGAACCGGGGAACUGAAACAUCUAAGUACCCCGAGGAAAAGAAAUCAACCGAGAUUCCCCCAGUAGCGGCGAGCGAACGGGGAGGAGCCCAGAGCCUGAAUCAGUGUGUGUGUUAGUGGAAGCGUCUGGAAAGGCGCGCGAUACAGGGUGACAGCCCCGUACACAAAAAUGCACAUACUGUGAGCUCGAUGAGUAGGGCGGGACACGUGGUAUCCUGUCUGAAUAUGGGGGGACCAUCCUCCAAGGCUAAAUACUCCUGACUGACCGAUAGUGAACCAGUACCGUGAGGGAAAGGCGAAAAGAACCCCGGCGAGGGGAGUGAAAAAGAACCUGAAACCGUGUACGUACAAGCAGUGGGAGCACAGAGCAAUCUGUGUGACUGCGUACCUUUUGUAUAAUGGGUCAGCGACUUAUAUUCUGUAGCAAGGUUAACCGAAUAGGGGAGCCGAAGGGAAACCGAGUCUUAACCGGGCGUUAAGUUGCAGGGUAUAGACCCGAAACCCGGUGAUCUAGCCAUGGGCAGGUUGAAGGUUGGGUAACACUAACUGGAGGACCGAACCGACUAAUGUUGAAAAAUUAGCGGAUGACUUGUGGCUGGGGGUGAAAGGCCAAUCAAACCGGGAGAUAGCUGGUUCUCCCCGAAAGCUAUUUAGGUAGCGCCUCGUGAAUUCAUCUCCGGGGGUAGAGCACUGUUUCGGCAAGGGGGUCAUCCCGACUUACCAACCCGAUGCAAACUGCGAAUACCGGAGAAUGUUAUCACGGGAGACACACGGCGGGUGCUAACGUCCGUCGUGAAGAGGGAAACAACCCAGACCGCCAGCUAAGGUCCCAAAGUCAUGGUUAAGUGGGAAACGAUGUGGGAAGGCCCAGACAGCCAGGAUGUUGGCUUAGAAGCAGCCAUCAUUUAAAGAAAGCGUAAUAGCUCACUGGUCGAGUCGGCCUGCGCGGAAGAUGUAACGGGGCUAAACCAUGCACCGAAGCUGCGGCAGCGACACUGUGUGUUGUUGGGUAGGGGAGCGUUCUGUAAGCCUGUGAAGGUGUGCUGUGAGGCAUGCUGGAGGUAUCAGAAGUGCGAAUGCUGACAUAAGUAACGAUAAAGCGGGUGAAAAGCCCGCUCGCCGGAAGACCAAGGGUUCCUGUCCAACGUUAAUCGGGGCAGGGUGAGUCGACCCCUAAGGCGAGGCCGAAAGGCGUAGUCGAUGGGAAACAGGUUAAUAUUCCUGUACUUGGUGUUACUGCGAAGGGGGACGGAGAAGGCUAUGUUGGCCGGGCGACGGUUGUCCCGGUUUAAGCGUGUAGGCUGGUUUUCCAGGCAAAUCCGGAAAAUCAAGGCUGAGGCGUGAUGACGAGGCACUACGGUGCUGAAGCAACAAAUGCCCUGCUUCCAGGAAAAGCCUCUAAGCAUCAGGUAACAUCAAAUCGUACCCCAAACCGACACAGGUGGUCAGGUAGAGAAUACCAAGGCGCUUGAGAGAACUCGGGUGAAGGAACUAGGCAAAAUGGUGCCGUAACUUCGGGAGAAGGCACGCUGAUAUGUAGGUGAAGUCCCUCGCGGAUGGAGCUGAAAUCAGUCGAAGAUACCAGCUGGCUGCAACUGUUUAUUAAAAACACAGCACUGUGCAAACACGAAAGUGGACGUAUACGGUGUGACGCCUGCCCGGUGCCGGAAGGUUAAUUGAUGGGGUCAGCGCAAGCGAAGCUCUUGAUCGAAGCCCCGGUAAACGGCGGCCGUAACUAUAACGGUCCUAAGGUAGCGAAAUUCCUUGUCGGGUAAGUUCCGACCUGCACGAAUGGCGUAAUGAUGGCCAGGCUGUCUCCACCCGAGACUCAGUGAAAUUGAACUCGCUGUGAAGAUGCAGUGUACCCGCGGCAAGACGGAAAGACCCCGUGAACCUUUACUAUAGCUUGACACUGAACAUUGAGCCUUGAUGUGUAGGAUAGGUGGGAGGCUUUGAAGUGUGGACGCCAGUCUGCAUGGAGCCGACCUUGAAAUACCACCCUUUAAUGUUUGAUGUUCUAACGUGGACCCGUGAUCCGGGUUGCGGACAGUGUCUGGUGGGUAGUUUGACUGGGGCGGUCUCCUCCUAAAGAGUAACGGAGGAGCACGAAGGUUGGCUAAUCCUGGUCGGACAUCAGGAGGUUAGUGCAAUGGCAUAAGCCAGCUUGACUGCGAGCGUGACGGCGCGAGCAGGUGCGAAAGCAGGUCAUAGUGAUCCGGUGGUUCUGAAUGGAAGGGCCAUCGCUCAACGGAUAAAAGGUACUCCGGGGAUAACAGGCUGAUACCGCCCAAGAGUUCAUAUCGACGGCGGUGUUUGGCACCUCGAUGUCGGCUCAUCACAUCCUGGGGCUGAAGUAGGUCCCAAGGGUAUGGCUGUUCGCCAUUUAAAGUGGUACGCGAGCUGGGUUUAGAACGUCGUGAGACAGUUCGGUCCCUAUCUGCCGUGGGCGCUGGAGAACUGAGGGGGGCUGCUCCUAGUACGAGAGGACCGGAGUGGACGCAUCACUGGUGUUCGGGUUGUCAUGCCAAUGGCACUGCCCGGUAGCUAAAUGCGGAAGAGAUAAGUGCUGAAAGCAUCUAAGCACGAAACUUGCCCCGAGAUGAGUUCUCCCUGACCCUUUAAGGGUCCUGAAGGAACGUUGAAGACGACGACGUUGAUAGGCCGGGUGUGUAAGCGCAGCGAUGCGUUGAGCUAACCGGUACUAAUGAACCGUGAGGCUUAACCUU
rnacentral:rRNA from 1 species